GUAAAGGAUGCAAAGAUACGUGAACCAGGACCACUAUUAUAACUCACGAUUACUUAACUCGGACAGAUCUGAAGCUUCACCAAAGGCAGUGAGGGGAGCACGGCCUGUGGAUCCAGUUCUACAGACAAGGCGACUGAAGUCACUCGGCAGCUGAACCAGACCCCCGGUGUCCCAUUUAAGCCUGUCUUCAUUGAUUCCAACCGCCUCGCUCCAGUUCCCUCACCAUAUCUUAAAAUAGAUACAGUAAAAUCUCAGCUGAGGUUAUUAUCGAUACAACGGACAUUUACUUUCUUUUCUUUGGCACUGCAUUUCCUAAAUUUCCUAGAGUGCUUGCAAUCCUACCAGUGAUUUUAAAACUUAAAGGUUCGAAAUAUUAUUCACUUUACAAAAAUUUGGUUUCUAUAUAGGUUCUCAGGGUACAUGAUCUGCUCUUGGUUCACUCUGCUCCUGGUAUAUAUAUAGUAAGUCCCCUACAUACCAACCAGUUCCUUAGGAGAGCUCAUUCAUAACUCCAGUUUGUUCCUAAGUCCAACAAAGUUAGCCUA